rnacentral:lncRNA from 1 species
AUGACAACAUAUCAGAUAAUCAAACUGUCACUUAAGAAUUUUGUUUUUUGCUCUAAGCAGCCAGCAGCUCGACACAGCAGCUGUGCAGCCACCACAGCAAGGAGACUCAGCUUGGAGUUGGCCUCGAUGAUCCUUGUGGGUCCCUUACAACUCAGGAUGCACUAUGACUGUGAUUCUGUGAGACUGAAGGCUGAACAGUUCUGGAGUCUAACAUCACCAACCACUGCUGCACAAAGAAUGAAGGUCUGGACAGACUUUUGAUUGGAAGCCACAUAUCACUUAUGCUCACAAGUACAUCCCCUGCUCUGACUGCUCCUGGGCACUCAGAAGCCACCCCAGUUCUGUGGGCACAUGGCACCAGCCCUGGCUUCUCAGAAGACAUCAGCAACAAUCAGGUACACAUGCUGCUUUUGGGUAUCAGAAAGAGUAACAUCACAGUGUUAUGGGAAAACCUGACUAUAGGGGGGUGCAGUCUAACAGCUCAAUCAAGCGGUCUUAUUAAACCAUCUUAAUGAAAACUGGCUUCUUUUCAUCUCUCAAAAUACCUGUUUAUUUUUUUCUAGCAAGUCACUGUUACUAAACUCCAUCCAUUAAUUCUUCUUACUCAGAGAAAUCUCAGCUUUCCUUAAUUUAUGCUGAGAUGAUCAUAAGUUGUCACUGGAACAUUCUGGUAGCCAGAAACUGCCAGCUUAGAGGUGCCCUGCCUCGAAUUUACAUUUACAUAAACAUUACAGCACAUAGGUUCCCUGUGUCUGACAUGAAUCGGCAGACUAUACAGAGAAGACCCUGCAGGUUUUGGAGAAUUUUUUUCCAAAUCACUCAGACUGGCUGAACUGCAUAACCUUUCUUCACAGACAGAACAAAUUGCACUGGAGAAUAUCAAAACAUUUUUAAAAACUCGAGUCUAUAGGAGAUGGCCAAGAACCAACAGUGCAAGGGAGUGGUGAGCAACUUUCCAUCACAGAAUAUCGAAACUGCCCAUACGUGAAGUAACACAAGAUUAUACUGACACUAUUAACUCUGAGCACACUCCAACAACCUCAGGAAAAAUAUUCUGUUUGGAUGGAAAAGCAAAGAGUGGGAACAUGGAUCAGCAAAAUAAACUAGGAGAAUACAGGAGAAGGGAGAAGACAAACUUUGAAAAGCGGAAUGGAAAGAAACAGUGCACAGUUUCUUCAACACUUCAGUUAUUCUACCCUGUUUCUCAGAAGGGACAGCCUUUACCUUCAGGUACUAAACUGAAGCGUAGAGUCAUCCCAGGCUUGUUAAUUUUUAUGGGUGGGAAAUAGAAGAAAAAAACAUGGUGCCUAAUAAUAUCCCUCCAGUAGCAGCAACACUGAGGUGACAUUACAAACUUACACAUUAUAUUGAGAGGUCUGAAGUUAAUUAGGGGAAUACUGACCUUCAUGCUUUAAAUCAAGAUAUCUGCAUUGUCAAAGAGAGAUGAUAAAUAUUCUUAUGAUGGAGGGACUCAGUACAUUUAACAUAGAAUAAAUGUACACCUCAGCUUACUGGGCAAACAAACACAGAGAUGGAUAGAAAAACAUAAUAAUAAUGCUUUUUAAAAGUACCAAAACCACAUCGGGAAUCCUAAUUUUUUUGGGGGGAAACCUGGCAGAAGGAAAGACAUACUUAUUUUCUGAUCAUUCAUAGUAAGACAGCAAAAGUGCCAGAGAAAGCUGUUUUGUUUUUGUUUUGUUUGUUUGUUUUAUAAUCAAAAGGCACAAGUGGAGAUGCAGCUACAAUGGUAAAUGUGCUUCUGCUACAAGAAUUUAAUUUACUCAGACAAAAUGAUAUCAUAAAAAAAAAAAAAAAUGCUUUUUUGCUCCUGUGAAGUGAGUAAGAGCAGUAAGAGCAAUUGCUAGCACAGAUCUAUUAACCAGUCUUUAUUAUCAGGCUCCCAGCUGCAGAUGUAACACAGAUUUCUGUUUAGAUGCAAAAUAUUUAGUUUGCUCUCAAUCAGAUUUUCCUUUGAAGAAAGAAAUGAGUAAGUAACAAAUAAAAAAAAAAAAAAAAAGUUCAUGAACUCAAACUAAUGGCACAAAUGCAAAACCAAAAUCACUUGAGCUUUGCUGAACUUCCAGAUCUGAAGUUUAUUGCAUGAUUUGUAGCACUGCUGAGUGCAGCCCUGACACUGAUAGACCAGAACCAGAUGGGUCUCAAGCAUUAGCGCUGGUGAAUGCAAAUACAUUCAAAGUACAGCUACACACAAAGCAGUCUUUGCAGGAGCAGAAAUAGAUCUCUAGCGACUGUAAUAAACAGGGCUUUGCUUCAGUUUUUCACUUCUAAG